rnacentral:lncRNA from 1 species
AUGUCACACACGUACCCACACACACCGUCAUGUCACACACGUACCCACACACACCCUCACAUCACAUACUGUACCCACACACACUGUCAGGUCUCACACGUACCCACACACACCCUCACAUCACACACGUACCCACACACACUGUCAGGUCUCACACGUACCCACAUACUGUACCCACACACACCCUCACAUCACACACGUACCCACACACACUGUCAGGUCUCACACGUACCCACAUACUGUACCCACACACACCCUCACAUCACACACGUACCCACACACACCCUCACAUCACACACGUACCCACACACACUGUCACGUCACACACGUACCCACACACACCCUCACAUCACACACGUACCCACACACACCGUCAUGUCACACACGUACCCACACACACCGUCACGUCACACACGUACCCACACACACCCUCACAUCACACACGUACCCACACACACCCUCACAUCACACACGUACCCACACACACCCUCACAUCACACACGUACCCACACACACCCUCACAUCACACACGUACCCACACACACCGUCACGUCACACACGUACCCACACACACCGUCAUGUCACACACGUACCCACACACACCCUCAUGUCACACACGUACCCACACACACCCUCACAUCACACACGUACCCACACACACCCUCACAUCACACACGUACCCACACACACCCUCACAUCACACACGUACCCACACACACUGUCACGUCUCACACGUACCCACACACACCCUCACAUCACACACGUACCCACACACACUGUCACGUCUCACACGUACCCACACACACCCUCACAUCACACACGUACCCACACACACCGUCACAUCACACACGUACCCACACACACCGUCAUGUCACACACGUACCCACACACACCGUCACGUCACACACGUACCCACACACACCCUCACAUCACACACGUACCCACACACACCCUCACAUCACACACGUACCCACACACACCCUCACAUCACACACGUACCCACACACACCCUCACAUCACACACGUACCCACACACACCCUCACAUCACACACGUACCCACACACACCGUCAUGUCACACACGUACCCACACACACCGUCACGUCACACACGUACCCACACACACCCUCACAUCACACACGUACCCACACACACCGUCACGUCACACACGUACCCACACACACCGUCACGUCACACACGUACCCACACACACCGUCACGUCACACACGUACCCACACACACCGUCACGUCACACACGUACCCACACACACCGUCACGUCACACACGUACCCACACACACCGUCACGUCACACACGUACCCACACACACCGUCACGUCACACACGUACCCACACACACCCUCACAUCACACACGUACCCACACACACCGUCACGUCACACACGUACCCACACACACCCUCACAUCACACACGUACCCACACACACCGUCAUGUCACACACGUACCCACACACACUGUCACGUCUCACACGUACCCACACUCACGUCACACACGUACCCACACACACCCUCACAUCACACACGUACCCACACACACCGUCACAUCACACACGUACCCACACACACCGUCAUGUCACACACGUACCCACACACACCGUCAUGUCACACACGUACCCACACACACCGUCAUGUCACACACGUACCCACACACACCGUCACGUCACACACGUACCCACACACACCGUCACGUCACACACGUACCCACACACACUGUCACGUCACACACGUACCCACACACACCCUCACAUCACACACGCACCCACACACACCGUCAUGUCACACACGUACCCACACACACCGUCACGUCACACACGUACCCACACACACCCUCACAUCACACACGUACCCACACACACCGUCACGUCACACACGUACCCACACACACCGUCACGUCACACACGUACCCACACACACCGUCAUGUCACACACGUACCCACACACACCGUCACGUCACACACGUACCCACACACACCGUCACGUCACACACACCGUCACGUCACACACGUACCCACACACACCGUCACGUCACACACGUACCCACACACACCGUCACGUCACACACGUACCCACACACACCGUCACGUCACACACGUACCCACACACACCGUCACGUCACACACGUACCCACACACACCGUCACGUCACACACGUACCCACACACACCGUCACGUCACACACGUACCCACACACACCGUCACGUCACACACACUGUCACGUCUCACACGUACCCACACUCACGUCACACACGUACCCACACUCACGUCACACACGUACCCACACACACUGUCACGUCACACACGUACCCACACACACUGUCACGUCACACACGUACCCACACACACUGUCACGUCUCACACGUACCCACACACACUGUCACGUCUCACACGUACCCACACACACCGUCAUGUCACACACGUACCCACACACACCGUCACGUCACACACGUACCCACACACACCGUCACAUCACACACACUGUCACGUCUCACACGUACCCACACUCACGUCACACACGUACCCACACUCACGUCACACACGUACCCACACACACUGUCACGUCACACACGUACCCACACACACUGUCACGUCACACACGUACCCACACACACUGUCACGUCUCACACGUACCCACACACACUGUCACGUCUCACACGUACCCACACACACUGUCACGUCACACACGUACCCACACACACUGUCACGUCACACACGUACCCACACACACUGUCACGUCUCACACGUACCCACACACACUGUCACGUCUCACACGUACCCACACACACUGUCACGUCACGUCACACACACCGUCACGUCACACACGUACCCACACACACCGUCACGUCACACACGUACCCACACCCACCGUCACAUCACACACGUACCCACACACACCGUCACGUCACACACGUACCCACACACACCGUCACGUCACACACGUACCCACACACACCGUCACGUCACACACGUACCCACACACACCGUCACGUCACACACACUGUCACGUCUCACACGUACCCACACUCACGUCUCACACGUACCCACACACACUGUCACGUCACACACGUACCCACACACACUGUCACGUCACACACGUACCCACACACACCGUCACGUCACACACGUACCCACACACACCGUCACGUCACACACGUACCCACACACACUGUCACGUCACACACGUACCCACACACACUGUCACGUCUCACACGUACCCACACACACUGUCACGUCUCACACGUACCCACACUCACGUCACACACGUACCCACACACACUGUCACGUCUCACACACACUGUCACAUCUCACACGUACACACACUCACGUCACACACGUACCCACACUCACGUCACACACGUACCCACACUCACGUCACACAUGUACCCACACUCACGUCACACACGUACCCACACUCACGUCACACACGUACCCACACACACUGUCACGUCUCACACACACUGUCAUGUCUCACACGUACACACACACUGUCACGUCUCACACGUACACACACAUGGUCACGUCUCACACGUACACACACACUGUCACGUCUCACACGUACACACACACUGUCACGUCUCACACGUACACACACACUGUCACGUCUCACACGUACACACACACUGUCACGUCUCACACGUACACACACACUGUCAAGUCUCACACGUACACACACACUGUCAAGUCUCACACGUACACACACACUGUCAAGUCUCACACGUACACACACACUGUCAUGUCUCACACGUACACACACACUGUCACGUCUCACACGUGAACACACACACACACACUGUCAUGUCUCACACGUACACACACAAUGUCACGUCUCACACGUACACACACACUGUCACGUCUCACACGUACACACACACUGUCAAGUCUCACACGUACACACACACUGUCAAGUCUCACACGUACACACACACUGUCAAGUCUCACACGUACACACACACUGUCACGUCUCACACGUACACACACACUGUCACGUCUCACACGUGAAUACACACACACACACUGUCAUGUCUCACACGUACACACACACUGUCACGUCUCACACGUACACACACACUGUCACGUCUCACACGUGA